rnacentral:rRNA from 1 species
GGGUUGUGAGGUUAAGCGAAUAAGCGUACACGGUGGAUGCCUAGGCAAUCAGAGGCGAUGAAGGACGUGCUAAUCUGCGAUAAGCGUCGGUAAGGUGAUAUGAACCGUUAUACCCGACGAUUUCCGAAUGGGGAAACCCAAUAUCCAAUGGAUAUUAUCAUUAACUGAAUACAUAGGUUAAUGAAGCGAACCGGGAGAACUGAAACAUCUCAGUACCCCGAGGAAAAGAAAUCAACCGAGAUUCCCCUAGUAGCGGCGAGCGAACGGGGAACAGCCCAGAGUCUUAAUCAAUAGCAGCAUCAGGAGAACGGUCUGGAAAGUCCGGCAGUAAAGGGUGAUAGCCCCGUAUCCGAAGAUGCUGUUAUUGUGAACUCGACGAGUAGGGCGGGACACGUGUUAUCCUGUCUGAAUAUGGGGGGACCAUCCUCCAAGGCUAAAUACUCCUGAUUGACCGAUAGUGAACCAGUACCGUGAGGGAAAGGCGAAAAGAACCCCGGCGAGGGGAGUGAAAAAGAACCUGAAACCGUGUACGUACAAGCAGUAGGAGCCCCACCACUAAGCUAGUGGUGAACUCACAGCGAUUCUUUUGCAUGAUAAAGAGCGGUAGACGACGCGAAGUGACGUCCAACCAAUCCAAUCAGGCAGAGGAGGCUUAGUGGUGGGGUGACUGCGUACCUUUUGUAUAAUGGGUCAGCGACUUAUAUUCUGUAGCAAGGUUAACCGAAUAGGGGAGCCGUAGGGAAACCGAGUCUUAACUGGGCGAAUGAGUUGCAGGGUAUAGACCCGAAACCCGGUGAUCUAUCCAUGGGCAGGUUGAAGGUUGGGUAACACUAACUGGAGGACCGAACCGACUAAUGUUGAAAAAUUAGCGGAUGACUUGUGGAUGGGGGUGAAAGGCCAAUCAAACCGGGAGAUAGCUGGUUCUCCCCGAAAGCUAUUUAGGUAGCGCCUCGUGAACUCAUCUUCGGGGGUAGAGCACUGUUUCGACUAGGGGGUCAUCCCGACUUACCAACUCGAUGCAAACUGCGAAUACCGAAGAAUGUUAUCACGGGAGACACACGGCGGGUGCUAACGUCCGUCGUGAAGAGGGAAACAACCCAGACCGCCAGCUAAGGUCCCAAAGUCAUGGUUAAGUGGGAAACGAAGUGGGAAGGCUCAGACAGCCAGGAUGUUGGCUUAGAAGCAGCCAUCAUUUAAAGAAAGCGUAAUAGCUCACUGGUCGAGUCGGCCCGCGCGGAAGAUGUAACGGGGCUAAACCAUGCACCGAAGCUGCGGCAGCAACACUAAGUGUUGUUGGGUAGGGGAGCGUUCUGUAAGCCUGCGAAGGUGUACUGUGAGGUAUGCUGGAGGUAUCAGAAGUGCGAAUGCUGACAUAAGUAACGAUAAUGCGGGUGAAAAACCCGCACGCCGGAAGACCAAGGGUUCCUGUCCAACGUUAAUCGGGGCAGGGUGAGUCGACCCCUAAGGCGAGGCUGAAAAGCGUAGUCGAUGGGAAACGGGUUAAUAUUCCCGUACUGGUGGUAACUGCGAUGGGGGAACGGAGAAGGCUAGGUUGUCCGGGCGACGGUCGUCCCGGUUCAAGCAUGUAGGCAGAGUGAUUAGGCAAAUCCGGUCACUUAAUGCUGAGGUGUGAUGACGAGCCACUAAGGUGGUGAAGCAAUUGAUGCCCUGCUUCCAGGAAAAGCCUCUAAGCUUCAGGUUACCAACAAUCGUACCCCAAACCGACACAGGUGGUCAGGUAGAGAAUACUCAGGCGCUUGAGAGAACUCGGGUGAAGGAACUAGGCAAAAUGGUGCCGUAACUUCGGGAGAAGGCACGCUGGCGGUAAGUGAAGUCCCUUGCGGACGGAGCCGAAGCCAGUCGAAGAUACCAGCUGGCUGCAACUGUUUAUUAAAAACACAGCACUGUGCAAACACGAAAGUGGACGUAUACGGUGUGACGCCUGCCCGGUGCUGGAAGGUUAAUUGAUGGGGUUAUCCUUAGGGAGAAGCUCUUGAUCGAAGCCCCAGUAAACGGCGGCCGUAACUAUAACGGUCCUAAGGUAGCGAAAUUCCUUGUCGGGUAAGUUCCGACCUGCACGAAUGGCGUAAUGAUGGCCAGGCUGUCUCCACCCGAGACUCAGUGAAAUUGAACUCGCUGUGAAGAUGCAGUGUACCCGCGGCAAGACGGAAAGACCCCGUGAACCUUUACUAUAGCUUGACACUGAACAUUGAGCCUUGAUGUGUAGGAUAGGUGGGAGACUAUGAAGUGUGGACGCCAGUCUGCAUGGAGUCAACCUUGAAAUACCACCCUUUAACGUUUGAUGUUCUAACCUAGGCCCGUGAUCCGGGUCGGGGACCGUGUCUGGUGGGUAGUUUGACUGGGGCGGUCUCCUCCUAAAGAGUAACGGAGGAGCACGAAGGUUGGCUAAGCAUGGUCGGACAUCAUGCGGUUAGUGCAAAGGCAUAAGCCAGCUUGACUGUGAGAGUGACGGCUCGAGCAGGUACGAAAGUAGGUCUUAGUGAUCCGGUGGUUCUGAAUGGAAGGGCCAUCGCUCAACGGAUAAAAGGUACUCCGGGGAUAACAGGCUGAUACCGCCCAAGAGUUCAUAUCGACGGCGGUGUUUGGCACCUCGAUGUCGGCUCAUCACAUCCUGGGGCUGAAGUAGGUCCCAAGGGUAUGGCUGUUCGCCAUUUAAAGUGGUACGCGAGCUGGGUUUAGAACGUCGUGAGACAGUUCGGUCCCUAUCUGCCGUGGGCGUUGGAAGAUUGAGAGGGGUUGCUCCUAGUACGAGAGGACCGGAGUGAACGCACCACUGGUGUUCGGGUUGUCAUGCCAAUGGCAUUGCCCGGUAGCUAAGUGCGGAAGAGAUAACCGCUGAAAGCAUCUAAGCGGGAAACUUGCCUCGAGAUGAGUCUUCCCUGUCACCUUGAGUGACCUAAAGGAACGUUUAAGACUAAGACGUUGAUAGGCUGGGUGUGUAAGCGUAGCGAUACGUUGAGCUAACCAGUACUAAUGAACCGUGAGGCUUAACCUGACAACACCGAAGGUGUUU